GGAGUUGUGGCUUAGAGGUAGAGCACUUGCCUGGCAUGUGUGAGGCAAUGGGUUCGAUCCUCAGCACCA
rfam:Ictidomys tridecemlineatus contig020132, whole genome shotgun sequence.